AGCUAACUGAGGCUAGUUUGAGCUACCUAUCUUCCACAUCUGUGUUUUGUUAUUUGCAAAUAAAAGUUGUUGCAUGUACUAGAGGAGAUGUACAUUGUGUAGUUAAAAAAACAUAAAUAUCAGGUAUGCUGAAGCUCAGAUGUCAAAUAUUCGAGAUGGCUGUGCAGAUGGAAGUUGAGGUGUAAAAAAAAAGGAAGAUAAAAAAGGCGAGGUAGUUUUACAUCGACGCGACUGUACAAAUGUUGCCUUUUGUUGGAGAGUUGAUGUUUUAGGGGAAGGUCAGAAUUUU
rnacentral:misc_RNA from 1 species